AUUUGACUUUAGAGAGAUAAAUGCUGAGUUUAAGAGAAUUACGACCAUACCGCUUCAUUCAAAGUUCUUCUCUCAACUGGAUCUCCACUGUGACAACCUGAGGAAGCUCUUCAAAAGAAGAGGAGGACAGCUCGGACAAAAGCUUAGACAAAUUGUUGCACAAAUGGAUGAUUGUGAAGAUGUUGAUGUUGCACGGGAGUGUGUCAUUAAGGGAGUCUGCAUAUAUAUGGAAGAAGAUCCAGCCAAGCUCAUCCAUAAAUAUGUGGGUGUGGAUGAAGCUAAUAUUGAAGAGGGUAUUGGAGCCACCACCAUCGGUGUUUUUCAUCUUAAAGACUGUUCUUCAGCAGAUGAAGACAUCGGGGUCGUUCUUGAAGGCAUCAGAGUGUUGUCCAAUUUGGAUAGUGUGCCAACAGCUGUUGCAAUGCUUUUUGGACUGAUAUAUGCAAUGAACCUCGCCUACCCUGCUGACCUCCGCUACACUUUCGAGGUAUUACAGAAAAUAGUAAUGGAACUGGAUGGAGGUAAACUGUCAAACAAGG